ensembl:lncRNA
AGCGCCGCUGUGUGCCCGCAGCGCCCCGUCCUCCGCGGCUCCGUCCGUCCCCGACUGCCGUGCGGGGCCGGCGGGGAGAGAGGAACGUACGGGUGCGAACGGCUGCGGGGCAGGGCGAGGGAGAGGGGUGGGCGAAUGGGAAAGAGACGGGAGGGAAACGUCUCUCAAGCGAACGGGCUGGAGGAGAAAUCCGCGGCGCUUGGCUCGGGGGGAGAGGAAAAGCGGAGAAACGGCAAACGGCGUGUGCUGCAGUUGCCAGAGGAGUGAUGGGGGCUUUCAAGGGUGUGUGAUGGGGGUGCCACCACAGCCACGCAGCUGCCAGAGGGCAGUGGAAACGUGGAGGAGGAAAAUUAAGCUGUGAACUGGAAUUCCAUCAGGCUGUCUGCCGUGAAGCCCUGCGGCUUUAGCAAACAGGCAGCAGUGGUCAGAAAUGACACUCAAAAGAACUGUCUGCAUUAAUAACAAGUACCUCCACUUGGAAAUUAUUUACAUGAAACAUUGUUCUCACAUCACUGCUACUGACAGCGGCUCCGGACUGGGUGAGAGAAGGACACCGUGAUGAAUUUACCCAUACCUACCUUACUGUGCUGCGUGAGACGAGGAGAGCUCAAAGACUUCAGAGAAGUUUGAAACCUUAAUCCCUGAAUAAUGCCUCCACCUGCCUCCUGGUUUUCUUUGGGGACUUUCCAGCGCUGGCCAGUCCUGACCCUAUCUGACUUCAGGGACAAUCCCAGUGUCUUGGGCUCCGAAAAAAGAGUGAAACAGUGACUGGAAAUGGUGCACUCAGCAAGGCUGAUCAUGGGUGCAGCGAAAGCGGUACCUGACCAUGUUAACACCUCCAUCAGGUGCAGGAGCUCAAGGGAGAAGAAUCUCCAGGAACAGAUUUUGACCUCAAGACUAAGGCACGUUACGUGUGUGAAGGCCCAGCACCGCUGCUACGAUCCACAGCACUGCUCCCACAUACUGCGUGAGUGAGGCCCUGCUGAUGUAAUAGUGGCCCGCAUAUGUCUCAUAUUAAUGGUAUUUUCCUAAUAGUAAUAGCAUUAAAGCCUGCCUACCUGGCUAUUGAGUUACCUUAUUUAGGGUAAUUUGCCCAAAAGCCUAUCCUGGAGCAUGUGAACAACCGUAUCAUUUUAUAACACUUAGCUUUAAGAUAUCAGAAAUCAAAGCAGGCAGACAGUCUGAUUCCAGAACUAGUAGUUUUCCAUUUAAAAAAACAAAAACUGUUGUGUUUCUUGAAUAAUUUAUUAUCUGGGUUUCUGUUGCAUUUUCCACAUGGAAUUGAUGAAGAAAAAUUUUUUCUAAAGAAAGUUCGGAUGAGUGAAAAUUCACACAUGGAAAACAAAUGAGCAUCGGGAAGCACUCCUCAUAGCUAAUGGCUACUUGGUCUGGUGCCAGAAUUCAUACAGAUCCUUAAAAUCAAGUAAAUUAUGCCCGCAGUGAUAGCUCCCUUUUGCUGGAGUCCCACAACAAGCACCAAAUGGUGGAGCGGCACAGAACUGCCAAAUUCCAUUUUUCACCUCCCAGUUCCUUUCAGCUGAGCAGCAUCAUUCGCAGCAGAAGGGCCCAUGCAUUUUUUACAGCUCCCCUCCCAGCUGCGUGUGCAGGGCCCGAUCCUGCCUAUGGCACAGGGCUCUGAGGGCAGCGCCUGCCGCGGGGUCAGCAUGUCAGUGAAUGGCAGCGGUGGUGGCAAUCUGACACACGUGUCUUCCCACGGAAGGGAGUGGAAAGAAUUGGGUCUUGAAAAGGAAAUAAUUGUAAAACAAAAGUGUACUUCUCUCACUUUGUCCUUUUGAUAAGAUCGCUUGCUGAGCUCAGAGGUUAGGAGAUGUGCAGCUUGCCAUGCGCCAGAUUAACAACUGCUGAAUUCUGUGCUAGAAAACUCGGCUGGAUUACACAAAUAUCUGUUAAGACAAGGAUAAAUAUUUAUAAACAGUCUUCCUUGCAGAACAUGUCUCCAUCAUUCAUUUCCCCGUGAUGAAAUAUCUGGAACAAUGGAACUAAUGACUACAUUGUUCCAAAGUUAAAUCGUAUAUCUAAUAAGGAAAAUACUAAAAUGAGCCAAAUUCUUUAUGAACACAACAGCGAAGCAAUUAAAAUAAAUGUGAUUUUCCAGAUCAAAACUUCUGGCUGUUAAUUGCUAGAUGGCACCUAUCCUAGUCAUAUGAGUUUCCCUCGCAGCUGUUUUUAUUUCACGAUACAUUCUGGGCUCCCCAGAGCUGUGCUGAGCUCGGACGUGGCGGCAUCGCGCCCGGACAGCUGCGCGGGGCUGCGGGGCUCAUGGAUGCACUGCUGGGACAGGCCUUGGGCCAGGUGCGCUCUCGCUGCUUGCCCUUUGCUUGCCCCGGGGUUCCAGUGGGGAUGAUGGGUGGGCACAAUGGCAUGCCCGCACCAAGCACACAGCACUGCUGCUCCCAGAAAGAGUAUUUUGGAGGAUAUACUUCAGUCAUACACUUUGUCCUAGUCACGGCAUCUGGCUGAGCUCAUACCCUUACCUCUUCGCCCUCUGCAUUUGACUUUUUUUUUUUUUUAAUUUGUUCAUGGGUGCCCUAGCACAGCAGCAGUGGGGCAGGGGCUGCAGCCCCAGCAGGACCAGGGCUCUUUAACCCACCCCACUCCAGAGCUGAAACUGCACACUGGAAAUCUGGCACGCUCCAGCCAGCUUUACUUGAAGCUGCACUUUGGUAUCUGUAGGUUAUUAAUGAGAUUAAAGAACUCUGUUACAGGGAAUGACAACUGCAGUUUGUCCAACAUUAAGCAGAUAUUGGCAUCCUUAGGUGUGAGUCGGGAGGCAGUGAUCUCAGAUAUUGAACGAGCUAAAGCCAUGAGCAAUAUGAUAUUGAUUAGACAAUGGGUAUUGUAUUUACCCACAUAGCUUUAUUGGGUGAGGCUCAAUGUGAUGUUUUUAUUUGGGAAACUUAAGAAAGAUAAUUAAAAAUGCUGUAAGGAGAGCCCAGCAGCCUUUGUGCUUUGCCUUUUAAAGGCUGCAGAUGUCCUGUCUUCUUUCUUUAAAACGGCAUGUGCUCCCUCUCCACCUUCCAAAAGAUCAAGGGUAAUAAUAACAACAAUAAUAAUACAGUGUCCUGGAAUUUUUCUACAUGCCUCAGGAGAACUUUAAUUUUUUCCAGAAACUGUUUUCUGACAACAGCCGCCCCGUGGACUUUUCCUGUUCCCCAGAAUGCAUUUCCAGUGCUGCUGCGGCCAAGUUAAAAUGGUGUCUUUUGGAUAUAAGGCCUUUUAUGUAGAAAACCUUUCUCUUGCUGAACAAAACCCUGCCUGCAGCGUGGGGCAACCCUGACCCGGUGAGCAGGUAGUGUUGUGCACUUUGAGCCUGUGCACCACGGGCAGCCCAGUGUGGCCUUGAUGACAGAAUUCGGGAGCCUUACUCGCAUCCACAGACGGCCCAGUGCUCGAAGCAUGCACAGAGGAUGCAUCCUGUCCACCUCUUCCGCUGUUUCUCCCAUCAGUUGCAUUCCCUUUCCCCAAGGGCUUUUUUCCAUUUUUUUAACUUUAUAAUCCCACAGCAAUGCCCAGCCCAGCUGCAUUCCCAUCUUGCAUCAGAAGGCUGACUCACUGCAGCGCUCAGCUCGGUUGCAUUUCCCUUCCAUGGGACAUGGGUCCACAUGGCUGCAGACAGGGCCUGGGCCUGGCACACAGCGAGGCAUGCACCCAGCUCAGGGCUGAGGCCAGCGCCCGUGUGCCACCCUCUUUGCCUCUGCCAAGGUCUUUCAAGCUGAGGUGUGAUGGCUCAGCCUUUCUCCUCCCUCCACGGAUGGCUGCUGCUGUAACUCCCCAAGCUUUUGGCCAUGGGCUGUUUAAUAUUUUCUUCCAGCUCAGCCAUCUCCAGUCACCAGAGCUGCUGCCGGCUCUACUCCCAUGGGUGAGGCAGCUUCUCACAGCCACCACUUCCUCUGCUCUUCAACCUGAUGCUUUCCAGCUCUGCGCUUUGCAAGGGGAGGCAAAGGAGCGUGUGCCGAGCCUCCAUCUGCACCACAUCACGGGAAUACAAAAUGGCACCGAAUCCUACUUUUCCUCAUUAGAUGUGGGCAAACUUGGCUGGAGCGCAAGUGCGAAAGCUCAUCUUUCUUCAGCUGCUUGUAAUUCAUGCUUGAGCAAGAGCAUUAUUUGGGGCUUAAGUCAGAGUCUUCUAAGUAGGUCACAGUUCUUCUAGACCCAAACUCCUGCAUAUGACUUCUGAGAAAUGCAGAUCCCUGUCCUCCUGAUUAGUGAAACACCUCAGGAGCCCUCUUUUCAGUUUUAUCAGCUCCUCAAAUGAAUCCAUAAAACAAAUAGUUACUAAGAAGUUGCUUCCUGCAUAGGGUUCAGACUUGGAAAAAUUCCUCUGCCUUGGGUGGCAGCCAUUUCUGUCUCAUUUGCAUGGCUAGUUUCUUGCAUUUUAAGGAUGCUCCACUGUAGCCAGGUAAAUGGAUGCACCCCGCAACUCCUCUAGUCUUUGCAUCAACAAGAGGACAAAAAGCUACGGAGAAGGCAAGGAAGCUCCAGCCUACAGGGGCUGUGCUGGCUGAAACACAUGCAGUGCAGUCCAUGCUGUAAAACAGCAUUCAUUUUAGUGGUGCAGAGGCUGAUUUGCCAAAUCAUCACAGCAUGUGUUAGAUGUUAAUCCUAGUCUUUAGAAUAGAACUACAGCUUCAGACACACCCGGAGAUAAAAUGAGGGAAAUACAAGAGCUCAACAAGAAGCAGAGUGAAGUGGAAUGGCACAGUGCAAGGAUGUGUUAAGAGCUCUUUGAGGCACUGGUGGCAUAAGUAAGUUUUCCUGGUAUUUCUGCAGGGCAGUUCUGAAUGCCUAUAGCAGCUCACCACCUGCGUUUGAAAAUGAUAGCAUUUGCUUUUUUCAGUCAUCUAGAAAUUAAGCUUUACCUCCUCCUUCAGUAGCAGGAUGAGUCUGGACUGCAGUGACAUGAGGGAGAAGUCAGAACCAAACAUACUCUAUAUCUCUCGCCGGAGGAGAAGAGUUGCAGUUAAGUCUGAUUUUAGUUGAGUCAUUUGGCCAGGGGAGAUUAUCCAUAGGUAUGGAUUGCAGUUGUCAGCAGCCACAUGUUGUUGGGGCAUUUCUUUGCAUUACGGUACUAUGCAUUUAGAUUUUUGCCCUUUACUGCUGCUUUAGUGUGCAAUGGUGAAGUGCUGGAGCUCAGCUCUGUGGCUGCAUUCGGAUCCCUGAAAUGAGCUCAAGUGCUAUUUUACCAUAGAAUACAGGAUGCCUUCGUGCUUUUAUGCUUUAUUUUUGAUUCUAUGAGGUUAUUUUAACUUCCUUGUCUGAAAAGAAACAAAAUGUUAGAUGUCUAAUUGAAUGGACUGCUGGAAAAGAUGCAUAAAAAGGUCUGGCACGUGAACUUCUGUGAAGCAAAUGCCUUUGUUUCCAAACAGGCCAGCGAUAACAAAUAUUUAUUGACAUUUUCCUUCCACAGGGGCGUUAACAAUUAUAAUUUGCUAGUACGUACCUCAUGAGUCCUUACAGGUUUUGAACAGAACAUCUGUUGGUCAAAGAUGAAAAAGAAGGUUGAAAAAAAAAUCUGUUUUUCCAGGGUUAUGAAACUAACAGCAUCACAAAUUAUCGCUAGGAAAACAGUUCAAAAGCCUGAACUUGCACUUGUGGAAAAAGGAACACAGAUAGAGGAAACAGAUAAAAACGCGUCGUGUUGGUAGGCUUUGUUUUCUGCAAUGAUGUAUUGUUCCAGCAAAGCGGUUAACAAACAAAUUAUUGUCUGCGUCCAAAACAGCCAAAUCUUUGGUUCCACUGAACAGAUGUUAAGGUGAAGCAGAUUAAAGCCAAAUUCACAAUAGGGCUGCUCCACAGGAAAGGUGCCCUAAGUUUAUCUAUUGUUAAAUAAUAUAAUUUAUCGUCUUAGAGGGCUACGGAGUGAUUUCUGUUCCUUUUCUACUUUUUGAACAAAGAUUUAUAACAUAGAUAAUCCCCAAUUUUAGAUAUUUGCUGCAGGUUAUAUUUGAAGGAAUUUCCCAAAAGACUGAUAACCCCUUUUUUUCCCUUAACCACAGUCAAACCAGUGAACUAAUAUGAUGCCUGCUUCAAAUAAAUGUAUUUGCUGCCUCUGUGCAUGAUAAGUUUUCAUUUAGUCUACGAUCAGCUGACAGUAUGCAAGUUUGCAGAUACCAGUAAUUGAAUACAGAUAACCUUGGUUGUUGACCUAUGCAGAGCCAUGGCUGUCUAGUUUCCAUUGUUUCUGUUUUUGCUAGUUGACACAAAACUGAUGUGGGCUGAAUUUAUAUAUUAGCCAUCCAUUAUAGUGGGAAUUGCUUAUCAUUGUGGAUGGAUAUUGCAAGAAGUUUCUAUUUAUUUAACCUAAUAAGAUGGCAGAAACGAACCUGAUUGGGCCCACUCAGGAUCAGAAUUAACCCUUAGUGGUCCAGUUAAUUGCUGCAUGGUUAACAAGUCAUGUAAAGGAUGCCUGCCUUAUUUCUAUUUUUUACAUAAUGAUUUUCUUUUCAGUUAGAGGGAUUAUUUCAUUUAGCAAACAAUCCUUGCCAUAUUGAGAAACUGAAUCUGAGGGUUGCAAAAGAGUCAGAUAGUGCCGGAUAUCUAAAUCCUCUUGACUUCUGGCCCCGGCCAAUGACCAUUCUCCCAGAGCUCAGUGGAAGCCCAGACUGAACAGACGGUGAGGUGGACGUUAGCACAUGGUGCCAGGGUCAGCGGUGGCACAGUCCCCAUCAGUGCUCCUCCAAGCUCUCAUACACUGGAGUCAGAUUGAGAUGUCUUUGGUUGUCUGCAGUGUUUCUGACAAGCUUGGUUUUAACAUCACACUGGCCACAGUUAGUUGUGUGCCUUUCCAGCUACCUGUAAGGUUAUUUAGAUCCAGAAUAGUUUUACAAAUGCAGUUGCUUACACAGAAGAUCCUGUGAAGGUGAAGGAUGAAGGUUCCUGUUACAGCCUAGGGAUGACCGAUCCACUGGCUGGGUAAGGAUGGUAACAAAAGCAGAAAGCCAUCUUUUUUAUUGCUAUUAAAACAGCAUUCAAACUCUGAUCCCACUGAGUUCAAGGCAGCUAGCUGAUCAGUUCUUAGCAUUUUGAGCAGCUUUUCUCCCACCUUAGAGGAGCAGAAGAAAUCUUGCCUGAUGUAGCAAGUGAGGGCUGAGCGGUGGUCAUCAAGUGUGGGCUCAUGAAUGGGCACUUCAGCCCCUUCCUGCACUGCUGUUUGGGCCCUGCUAAUGCUGUGCACCACGACUCACGCAAGGUUUUGUUCAAGAACAUGAAAGCAAAAUGGCCAGCUUGAAUCCUGAUCACCUUGUGGAAUACAGUAAUGUGCACAGAAACACAAUACAGCUGCUUGUAUUACAAUUCCUACUUUUAGCCCUUUUCAGAGCAGCAAAAGCGAGUAACAUGAAGUCCCAGUACAGCUGAAAUCUGGUUUUGUUAAGCUGCGGUGUCAAUCAGGUUGGCUAAGCUGACCUGGCUUCUGAGAUGGUAUGAGUUUGUUUAUUUUAGUUUAUUUUGUAAAUGUCCUCCUUUGCAAAUACAAUCUUA